GACGAACGCUGGCGGCGUGCCUAAUACAUGCAAGUAGAACGCUGAAGAGAGGAGCUUGCUCUUCUUGGAAGAGUUGCGAACGGGUGAGUAACGCGUAGGUAACCUGCCUUGUAGCGGGGGAUAACUAUUGGAAACGAUAGCUAAUACCGCAUAACAAUGGGUGACCCAUGUCAUUCAUUUGAAAGGGGCAACUGCUCCACUACAAGAUGGACCUGCGUUGUAUUAGCUAGUAGGUGAGGUAACGGCUCACCUAGGCGACGAUACAUAGCCGACCUGAGAGGGUGAUCGGCCACACUGGGACUGAGACACGGCCCAGACUCCUACGGGAGGCAGCAGUAGGGAAUCUUCGGCAAUGGGGGCAACCCUGACCGAGCAACGCCGCGUGAGUGAAGAAAGUUUUCGGAUCGUAAAGCUCUGUUGUAAGUCAAGAACGAGUGUGAGAGUGGAAAGUUCACACUGUGACGGUAGCUUACCAGAAAGGGACGGCUAACUACGUGCCAGCAGCCGCGGUAAUACGUAGGUCCCGAGCGUUGUCCGGAUUUAUUGGGCGUAAAGCGAGCGCAGGCGGUUUGAUAAGUCUGAAGUUAAAGGCUGUGGCUCAACCAUAGUUCGCUUUGGAAACUGUCAAACUUGAGUGCAGAAGGGGAGAGUGGAAUUCCAUGUGUAGCGGUGAAAUGCGUAGAUAUAUGGAGGAACACCGGUGGCGAAAGCGGCUCUCUGGUCUGUAACUGACGCUGAGGCUCGAAAGCGUGGGGAGCGAACAGG
rnacentral:rRNA from 1 species